rnacentral:piRNA from 1 species
UACUUACACUUGGGACAGUCCAAAAUGAU